AUUAUUUUGAUAAUUUGUUUAACACAGUGAUGGAUGUGAAGGGCAAGACCAAAGAUAAUGUUAAGGCUAGAAUAGACUUGCUUGAGUAUUGUGGACAAAAAGAGUUAUGGUUGCAGCCAAAACAGAAAAGGAUCUUCAAGCUUAAGGCUAGCUAUACUUUCAAAAUGGAGCAGAAGCGAAAGAUUUGUGAGUGGUUCCAGAACUUGAAGAUGCCAGAUGGGCAUGCAUCAAAUUUUAGAAUGCGUGUUGAUAUGGAGCAAGACAGGAUACAUGGGAUGAAAAGUCAUGACUGUCACGUUUUCAUGGAAACUUACCCCCCCCCCCCCCUCCUUGCAUUUAGUGGCUUGCCUGAAUGAAUCUGGAAACCUAUGAAAGAAAUUAGUUUGUUCUUCAAAGACUUGUGUUCCAGUACGUUGAGGGAAGACAAACUUUAUCCGAUGGAUCAAAAUAUCCCUGUUAUCACAAACAAGCUGGAGAAAAUUCUUCCACCGGGGUUCUUUGAUGUGACGGAACAUCUUGCAAUUCGCCUUGCGUACGAAGCCCGACUCGGAGGCCCAGUUCAAUAUAGGUGGAUGUAUCCCUUUGAGAGGUCUAUUGGUAAGUUAAAAAGGACUAUCAAGCAGAAAUCGAAAGUGGAAAGCUCAAUGUGCGAAAUUUACCUUGCCAACGAAACAUCUCAUUUUUGUUCUUACUAUUUUCAGAACGGUGUGACUUGUUUGAGAAACAGGCCUAAUCGAUACUAUGAUGGAGGUGUGAAUAAUUAUUUGGCGAAGCCGAUAUCAAUCUUCAACCGACAAGGUGAUAGGUCAAAAGAACGUUAGAGACCAUUGAAUCAAAUGGAAGAUAAAUCGGCAUCGACACAUAUCUUAUUAAAUUGCCCAAAAGUUCGACCUUAUUAUGAUCUCUUUGUGGAGAUACAUGGCCAAGAAAAAGUGUACAAUCAAUUUGCAGCGUGGUUUAACACUUACAUAAGUUUUAUAAUUUUCUAACACAAAGCUACCAUAAAUUACAAAAUUUUGAAUUCUACAAUUUCUAACUUUCUAUUUCUUAACUUUUAUUAAGUUCACAA